CCUACGGGGGGCAGCAGUGAGGAAUAUUGGUCAAUGGACGAGAGUCUGAACCAGCCAAGUAGUGUGAAGGAUGACUGCCCUAUGGGUUGUAAACUUCUUUUAUAUGGGAAUAAAAUGUUCCACGUGUGGGAUUUUGUAUGUACCAUAUGAAUAAGGAUCGGCUAACUCCGUGCCAGCAGCCGCGGUAAUACGGAGGAUCCGAGCGUUAUCCGGAUUUAUUGGGUUUAAAGGGAGCGUAGGUGGAUUGUUAAGUCAGUUGUGAAAGUUUGCGGCUCAACCGUAAAAUUGCAGUUGAAACUGGCAGUCUUGAGUACAGUAGAGGUGAGCGGAAUUCGUGGUGUAGCGGUGAAAUGCUUAGAUAUCACGAAGAACUCCGAUUGCGAAGGCAGUUCACUGGACUGCAACUGACACUGAGGCUCGAAAGUGUGGGUAUCAAACAGGAUUAGAUACCCCUGUAGUC
rnacentral:rRNA from 1 species